AUUGAACGCUGGCGGCAGGCCUAACACAUGCAAGUCGAGCGGAUGAAGGGAGCUUGCUCCUGGAUUCAGCGGCGGACGGGUGAGUAAUGCCUAGGAAUCUGCCUGGUCGUGGGGGAUAACGUCCGGAAACGGGCGCUAAUACCGCAUACGUCCUGAGGGAGAAAGUGGGGGAUCUUCGGACAUCACGCUACCAGAUGAGCCUAGGUCGGAUUAGCUAGUUGGUGGGGUAAAGGCCUACCAAGGCGACGAUCCGUAACUGGUCUGAGAGGAUGAUCAGUCACACUGGAACUGAGACACGGUCCAGACUCCUACGGGAGGCAGCAGUGGGGAAUAUUGGACAAUGGGCGAAAGCCUGAUCCAGCCAUGCCGCGUGUGUGAAGAAGGUCUUCGGAUUGUAAAGCACUUUAAGUUGGGAGGAAGGGCAGUAAGUUAAUACCUUGCUGUUUUGACGUUACCAACAGAAUAAGCACCGGCUAACUUCGUG
rnacentral:rRNA from 1 species